CCAGAGAACUUAGCAGAGAUGCUUUGGUGGCCUUCGGGGAACUCUGAGACAGGUGCUGCAUGGCUGUCGUCAGCUCGUGUUGUGAAAUGUUGGGUUAAGUCCCGCAACGAGCGCAACCCUUAUCCUUUGUUGCCAGCGGCUCGGCCGGGAAACUCAAAGGAGACUGCCGGUGAUAAACCGGAGGAAGGUGGGGAUGACGUCAAGUCAUCAUGGCCCUUACGGCCAGGGCUACACACGUGCUACAAUGGCGCAUACAAAGAGAAGCGACCUCGCGAGAGCAAGCGGACCUCAUAAAGUGCGUCGUAGUCCGGAUUGGAGUCUGCAACUCGACUCCAUGAAGUCGGAAUCGCUAGUAAUCGUAGAUCAGAAUGCUACGGUGAAUACGUUCCCGGGCCUUGUACACACCGCCCGUCACACCAUGGGAGUGGGUUGCAAAAGAAGUAGGUAGCUUAACCUUCGGGAGGGCGCUUACCACUUUGUGAUUCAUGACUGGGGUGAAGUCGUAACAAGGUAAGCGUAGCGAG
rnacentral:rRNA from 1 species